AUUGAACGCUGGCGGCAUGCUUUACACAUGCAAGUCGAACGGCAGCACGGGGGCAACCCUGGUGGCGAGUGGCGAACGGGUGAGUAACACAUCGGAACGUGUCCAGUUGUGGGGGAUAACCCAUCGAAAGGUGGGCUAAUACCGCAUGAGCUGGCAACAGGAAAGCGGGGGACCCGCAAGGGCCUUGUGCGAUUGGAGCGGCCGAUGUCCGAUUAGCUAGUUGGU
rnacentral:rRNA from 1 species